UCCUCCUCAGAUGUCUCACUCACUCCAAAUCCUGAGUAGUCCAUGGCGACUCCACCCACCUGAGCAGAAAGAUCUCCUCCACCAGCAGCAGCAGCAGCAGCAUCAGCCAAGAGCAGCAAGAAGCCAAGAACAAGAGCUUGGCUCUCCAAUUCUUUUGCAAGUGCUUCUCAAAAUGGUUUCAUGUGUGAACCGAGGCAGCUGUCUGGUGGUGAACAGCACCAUAUAAUCAUCACAAUAAACAGAGAGGAGGGGGGUGGGGCGUAGUAAACCAUCAGGAAUGGAGUUCGCCACAGGGGCAAUGGGCACGCUCCUCCCCAAGCUGGUGGAGCUGCUCAAGGAACAAUAUGAUCUGCAGAAGAGUGUGAAGGAGGGGAUAACAUUCCUCAUAGCUGAGCUCAAGAGCAUACAAGCAGCACUUGAGAAGGUCUCAAAGGUGCCGCUAGACCAACUUGACGAGCAAACCAAGAUCUGGGCUUGGGACAUUAGGGAGUUGUCUUAUGACAUUGAGGACAACAUUGAUACCUUCAUGAUAUGUGUGGAUGGUCUUGAGCCAGCCAAGAAACAUAAUUUAACAUGGUUAAUUGACAAGUGCCACAAAUCGUUGUCCAAGAUAAAGAUCCGACACAAAAUAGCCAAUGAAAUCAAAGAUAUCAAGAGCCAAGUCAGGGAGGUGAUGGAACGACGUGAUAGGUACAAGAUUGAUGAUGUCGCUACUAUUCCUCCAACAUUUGUGGAUCCUCGCAUCUUGACAUUAUAUGAGAAUGUCACCAAGCUUGUUGGGGUUGAUAAGGCAAGUGAUGAUCUAAUGAAGAGGUUGUCUGUGGGGGAUGAGGCGCCCAAGAAGCUCAAGAUGGUCUCUGUUGUUGGAAUUGGAGGAUUGGGCAAGACAACUCUUUCCAAAGUAGUGUUUGACAAGCUUAAACUGCAAUUUGAUUGUGCUGCUUUUGUUCCUGUCGGUCAAAACCCUGAAAUCAAGAAAGUCCUGAAGGACAUCCUAGUUGAACUUAACAAGGACAAGUACAUGUCAUUUGAUGUAACAACAGUAAAUGAAAGGCAUAUGAUUAAUGAGCUUCGAGAAUACCUUGACAAUAGGAGGUACUUGAUUGUUAUUGAUGACGUAUGGGAGACAUCAAAAUGGAACAUUAUUAAAUGUGCUUUGAUUGAUAGUAAUCGUGGAAGUAGAGUAAUCAUAACAACUCGUAUUUAUCAAGUUGCUAAUGAAGCUGCUGAAGAAUUUGGUGGUGUUUACAUGAUGGAACCACUUUCUGAUGAUAACUCAAAAAAGUUAUUCUACAAUAGAAUAUUUGGUGUUGCCUGCAGUAGUUCAACUGGUAAUCAAUCGGUUGAGGCAACCAAAAAGAUCUUACAUAAAUGUGGUGGCAUACCACUAUCUAUAAUUGCAAUAGCUAGUUUGUUGGUUGAUAAACCAACAGGAGACUGGUCUAUAAUUUAUGACUCUAUAGGUUUUGGGACUGGAGAUCGAAAUGAGGCGGUUCAGAACACAAGGAAGAUAUUGUCUUUUAGCUACUAUCACUUACCCUCAUACCUAAAGACUUGUAUGUUGUACCUAAGCAUAUAUCCAGAAGAUCAUUUGAUUAAAAAGGAUACUUUGAUAUGGAAGUGGGUAGCUGAAGGCUUUGUCCAAGAGGAACAAGAUAAGCCAUUAUUUGAGGUCGGCGAGAGGUACUUUAUUGAGCUUAUAAAUAGAAGCAUGAUCCAGCCAAUGGAGAAUGAUGGUAAGAUUUCUGGCUGCCACAUACAUGACAUGGUGUUAGAUCUUAUCCGAAACAUAAUAGCCGAAGAAAACUUUGUAAAAGUAUUCGACAAACUACAUGAGGUGCACAGGUUGUCUUCACAGAGGAGUACUGUCCGUAGGAUAGCACUGCAUGAGAGUUGGAACCAAGGCAAAAACAAUGACCUUGCUGUUGGCAUGACACAAUUGAGGUCAUUCAAUGCCAUCAAGUGUACUAUUAGCAUGAUGCCCUCGCUUCUGAGCUUCCAGGUUCUACGCGUGCUAGAGCUACAAGGCUGUAAUGUCACAGGAGGUUUAUACCUCAAGCAUAUCGGAAAGCUACGUCAGUUGAGGUACCUAGGAAUGAGAGGCACACGUGUUGCUGAGCUUCCAGUGGAAAUAGGGAAUCUGAUGCACCUGCAGACACUAGAUGUCCGAUACACAGGUCUGAAGGAACUGCCGUCGACCAUUUGUAAGCUAAGCAAGCUGAUGCGGCUGUGCGUCGCUGGAGGAACGGGCGUGCUGAUGGGUGGUUGGAAUCUGAGUUCACUGCAAUACCUAAAGAUGGGCUAUGGUUGCAUCAAAAGUAACAAAGACUUCGCCAUAGAAGUGGGCAAGCUGAUGGAGCUGAGAAUCCUUAAGAUUUAUGUAGAGAACAAGUUUGACAAGGGCACGAAGAACGCUUUGCUACAGUCUCUGUGCUGCUUGCGUAGACUCCAGAACCUGAUGAUAGAUUUCCCCUUGCCAUUUCAGAAUACGAUGAGCAUCUGGGAUGGCUGGGACCUCUGGGAGCCCUCACCUCAGCUCCGUGUGUUCCGUAUAUGCGGCAUUGAGCUGCCUCGGCUUCCAGAGUGGGUGAACUCCAUGUGCGUCCCGUACCUCUCCGAGCUGCGACUUGACGUGGUAGCCAUGGAAGCACGGGACCUGGACAUGCUUGCAAGGAUGCCAGCACUCCGCACACUCUGCCUGAGAACCCAGGCGAGAUUUUCAUGGACAGUUGGUGGUGCCGGACUGUUUCCGAACCUGAGAUUCUGUAGGAUGGACAUAGCACUCACAUUUCUUCAAGGAGCCAUGCCGAUGCUCAUGAAGCUUCAAUUAUGGCUGUGGGCGUCUGAAUAUUGUGCCGCCACUGACGUUGGAUUGGGGCACCUCCCUCUGCUCAAUCGCGUCGAAGUUAUCCUCCACUGCUGCGAUGCGACUACCAGGCAGGUGGAGGAAGCAGAGGCGGCGUGGAGGCACAUGGUGAAUUCUCACCCGAACCGUCCCGCCAUUCGUGUGUCCCGACUUGAAGAGUACCGGAUGAAAGGAGAUGAAGAUAAUGAUGAUGAGGAGAUUUCAGCUAAGGAUCACGUUGACGGAAAUUGUGACGAUGGGAAUUCAGCAUAUACGGACCAAGAGUCGCCUGUUCUAGCCGGACAAUGAUUUAGCCAAAGAGGAGGAAGAGGAGGAGGCUACGAACCAAUCUUGAACCGGAUCUCUUCACUCAUUCGGUCAUGCUUUCAGCGGCAGCUGCAGGGCAAGGAGAAGAAUAAAAGGGAGAAGAGUAGAGCGGAAUUGAAGAGAAACUCAUCUCCUUCGCUGGGCCUUUUUUUUUAUUUUUUUGUUGCUGUUGGUUUUCUUUCCCUGUUUUUUCUCAAGAAUUUAUAUAGUGUGGUUUGUAAUAAUGGUUGUCUCGGUUACAAUAAGGCCCAAGUAGGCUCAGACAGAAAUUCCGAGCAUAUUGGCCGCUAAACUGUCAUGUGUGAUUUUUACACUAUGCUUGUUUCUCAUGAUCACCUGUUUUACUUGAUUCAAAGGUUAUUGGUUGGAACAUGGAA